AUACGGAAGGUCCGGGCGUUAUCCGGAUUUAUUGGGUUUAAAGGGAGCGCAGGCGGAGAUGCAAGCGUGACGUCAAAUUUCGGGGCUCAACCACGUCUCGCGUCGCGAACUGCGUCCCUUGGUUGCGGGAAGGGGAGGCGGAACUCGAGGUGUAGCGGUGAAAUGCAUAGAUAUCACGAAGAACUCCGAUCGCGAAGGCAGCCUUCCGGCCCGUCAACGACGCUCAUGCUCGAAGGUGCGGGUAUCAAACAGGAUUAGAUACCCUGGUAGUCCGCACAGUAAACGACGGACACCCGCGGUUUGGCCUGUAUGGCUGAGCCGCCAAGCGAAAGCGUUAAGUGUCCCACCUGGGGAGUACGCCGGCAACGGUGAAACUCAAAGGAAUUGACGGGG
rnacentral:rRNA from 1 species